UUAGCAGCCGGAUAGCCAUCUUUAUACAGUAUCCGAUAGGAACACCUGGCACAGUGGCAAGCCCAAACCAGGUGGAAUUUGAAUCUGAAUCUGAAAAAAACAACAACAAUAUAUUGAGGGCUGACAAGUAGAACUGGCCCUGGAGGAUAAAGGAUUCGUAAAGCGGGGAGCACCGCGCCACCGGCAAUCCGGCGAUCCCCGUCUGGUUCACUUACUUGACGAUGGGUACUUUAUAGCAUUGCUGAAGUAGAUGACGUCACCAGAGAACGCUUGACAGUAGUAAUCAACGGGACCUCUUGCAAGUGUUGUGAAGACCUUGUAUUUCUUUGAACGCGAGUCGAUGCUAUUGGUUCCUGCUCCACAGCGACCUGUGGCCCCGUGCAUCACGCUAGAGCAAUUUGACUUCAUCUGAGUGAAAUUGCCAAGAGCGUGAGAGCUGUUCCCGGCUGACUGGAUUAUCAACACCUUGCCGGUAAAACCCUGGGCAUCGGUGAUUUUGCACGUUAGCUUUACUUCAUGUUCUCCUGUGGAAUAUUUAAGAUUCAGGGACACACCUACAAGGAAAGGAACUAAACAGUUUAUUGUUUUUAAUUACAAAAUGUGAAAAAACCCCUAGAAAAACUAAACAAUUAUCGACUUUUGGACGUGAAACAUUAGAUAUUUUCGAAACAAUCGUGAAAUACUAAUUGAAACGGGAAAGAAGAGUUUAAUGUAACAGGCGCUCUACGGUUCUAUUCCUACGAGAAAGAAGGAACAUACUUCUGACGUCCAGAAAAAAAGCAUGACUCGAAUGUAAUGAGCCGGCGUAUCUGUCUAGGUAUCCGAGGACAAAGUAAUGCAGGAACCACUUGGUGAACCAUAGGGAUAGGUUCUUAAAGACGGUUUGAGCUUGGCGUAAAAUGAUCUCAUAGAUUUAUUACUUGACUGACGAAAUACAAGUUUAAUAAAAUUAACAAACGAAGACAAUAAUGACUUAUAUGCACUGGUAAGGAAAACUGCUGAGAACAUCAAAGCUUUCCAAAAAUAAGAUCGUGUAUCCAUUUUGUACUUUCAGUUUCUAUCUCUCUCCUACGUUUAAGUAGUCUAUGUUUAAACCAUUGUGUCACUUGCUUUUGUCAAUACAGGCGCAUUACCAACAUAAGAGGUGGUCUGUCGCCCAUUCAGCCACUCUUUCCCUCACUAUGACCUAAGCAUAAUGCAGAGCCUAUGCAAUAGCAACAUGGACCGGGAAAUGGAAAACUUGGUACAUUUUCAAAUACACUAAUCCGGAAUAUCUUUUAAAAAAUCACCAAAUAAUGCGGUGGGGGGGGGGGGGGGGGGGGGGGGGGGGGGGGGAGUGGGGACCGAGUUGGGUUCGAGGAGAGGUUGUAGUGGGACACGGAUUAGCUCGAUGAUAAAGUGCUGUCCUGUCGUGUGGCGGGUGUGGGGAGAGUGGGGGGAGUGGGGGCCGAGUUGGGUUCGAGGAGAGGUUGUAGUGGGACACGGAUUAGCUCGAUUAUAGAAUGCUGUCCUGUCGUGUGGCGGGCGAGGUGGGGAGGGCAGUGUUGAUCAUUAUCCACCAUUAAAGGAACUUGUUUCUAGCACAAUGUGUCCACCGACGGAAAUCGAUCCCAGACCGUGUUUUCAAGAGGAAUGCCUUGUGUGAUGGUAGCGGGUUUCUCACGUCUCUCACUGUUUCUGUCUAUCUCUCCCCCCACCCCCACCCCCUCCUCUCUCUCCCCCACACCUCCUCUCUCUCCCCCACCCCUCCUCUCUCUCCCCCACCCCCCUCUCUCUCUCUCUCUCUCUCUCUCUCUCUCUCUCUCUCUCUCUCUCUCUCUCUCCCCCUAUGUCUUUAUUUCUCCAUUGUGAAGUUAAUAUCUAUAUGUAAUGUAUCUUAAAAUAGAAUAUUAAACAUGAUCGUUAG